GACGAACGCUGGCGGCGUGCUUAACACAUGCAAGUCGAACGGAAAGGCCCUGCUUUUGUGGGGUGCUCGAGUGGCGAACGGGUGAGUAACACGUGAGUAACCUGCCCUUGACUUUGGGAUAACUUCAGGAAACUGGGGCUAAUACCGGGUAGGAGCUCCUGCUGCAUGGUGGGGGUUGGAAAGUUUCGGCGGUUGGGGAUGGACUCGCGGCUUAUCAGCUUGUUGGUGGGGUAGUGGCUUACCAAGGCUUUGACGGGUAGCCGGCCUGAGAGGGUGACCGGCCACAUUGGGACUGAGAUACGGCCCAGACUCCUACGGGAGGCAGCAGUGGGGAAUAUUGCACAAUGGGCGGAAGCCUGAUGCAGCAACGCCGCGUGCGGGAUGACGGCCUUCGGGUUGUAAACCGCUUUCGCCUGUGACGAAGCGUGGGUGACGGUAAUGGGUAAAGAAGCACCGGCUAACUACGUG
rnacentral:rRNA from 1 species